CAUUCAGGAUCAGACUCCAACAACUUUUUGAAACUUGACUGUUUAUUGAGAACAUAGUUCCUUCCACUCAAAUCUUCUGUUCCACCCUUCCCCCACCUCAGCCUGUCCACCCAGCCACACACCCAAGAAUGUAAAGGAUAUUUUGGUCAGGGCUUUAGAGAAAACAAAAUUCAGGAGCUAGCUUCAAAGUCCUGAAUGUCAAAUCCUGUUAUGUGAAAGGGGGAUUAGAUAUUUUAUAUAGCUCUAGAGGGAAGUAGAUAUAGGGAGGCACAUUUGAUAUGGUAAGAACUUCAACAAUUAGGCCUGCUCAACAGUGCAGUUGGCUGACUCAUGAGUAAGAGAGCUUCCUGUCAGUGAAAAGGCUCUAACACAAAAUGUCUGACCUCCCAACUACAAGGAAAAUUUCUCUGUGUGUAUAGUUGGACUAGAUGAUUUCCAAGUUCUCUUCUGUGUCUAUGAUUCUAAGAGAAAAUUGCUCUGUGAAUUUUUUUCUCUUUCCCUGGCCCCAAAUGAAUAUUUUAUACAAGCAAAAUGAAUACUAUUAUCAGUCUCAAAAGAAGGAAAAAUCAAAAGGGUUCAGAGGGGAGCAAUUCCUUGUUAAAAAUGAUUACAAAUGGAUUCUAUAUAUGUUGAUUGACUUUAAUGAGUUAGAUUGCCUUGAGUAAUUUAUAAAUUUCAGACUGUAUAGAUAAUAAUAAUGAUGAUAUAGCCUUCCUUCCUUCUUCCUUUCCUCCCUUCCUUCAAUCCAGUCUCUCUGUCUCUCCUAAAGCACCCACUCACAGUACUUACUCUGGAGCCAACUGCCCUCUUUUCAAUAGUCCCUGUGGUAAUUCAAAUGAAGUACCUUGGACAAUCCCUUGGAUAUGCUAUGCCAAGGGGUCUACAUGUGGAAAUCUAGACUUUUUUAAUGAUAAAAUAUCACAUUGUCAUGAAAUAUGCUGCCACUUUCCAGAAAUAGUUGGAGAAGUAGUUCACUAGCAGAGUGGAUAUACCCCUGGCCUUGGCAUGUGAAAGAAAAUUCUUGGUUCUCUUUGUCUAUUCUGAGUUUACACUUGUAAAAAAGGGAAUCCUUUAUUCUCUUUGUGUAGUUGGAGUUAACACUUUGGUUAACAAUAAAUUAAGUACCCUUAUUUAUUACCUCACUAGAUUAACUCUCCUUUCUCUACCUUUUGAUUGAAUUGACAAAAGCUUGAACUAAGUGGAGGAGCUCAAAAACCACUUAGAGAAUUCACACCCUCAGAAACUCAAUCAGUCAGGAAUCUGUGAACCCUUUUGAUGAGAAUUUACCCCUCCAGAAGGCAAGAAGCAAAUCCCACAGACACUGCCAGUGUCUAGGCAAUUUGGAAACUGUGAUUGGCCCCUGUGAAGAGGGGAAGAGACAAGAAGCCACCAUAAAAGGCCCUGAAUUUCUGGGGCUAAAAAAGUCAGCUUCAAGAAGGAAGUGGGCUUCAAGAAGAAAGUCAUCUUUAAGAAGAAAAUUGACCUCAGGAGUAAUCUUCAGCUCAAGUCAUAGUCUUGACUUACCUCUUGGAGGGAACUUAGGUAUUUGGGGCUCAGUAUCCUGGUCUGUCUCCAUUGUGGUCUGAGGAGAGAGAUCUUCUAUUAAGCAUUUACCAGCAUACCCCUGCUAAAUGCCUUCCCAACUUGAUAGAACCUGCCAGCUCUUGCAGUCGACUGAUUAUAAGAAACCAGGUUUGACUCAGACUAGUCUUAUAGCUCAGGUUUAAUAUGGGGACAAAAUGAAACAGCCAUUGGUCAUUUGCCUGUAUUGCAAAAUUGUACAAAAGGGCUAAGUCAAAAUAUAUAUUUAUUUAAAGAGUUGAGGAUAUAGUUUUCAUUGCUUAAAAGUAACUGAGAGAUCAAAUCAUCUAGUUCAUUGCCAAAAUUUGAGAGAUGAAGCCAAUAUGAAUCUCCAGAACAAAUAAAUAUAUGGUAAUAACUUGUCCAAAGUUACAGAAGUAAUAAGUAGCAGACUCAGGAUUUGAACCUAGAUCUUCUGAAUCAAGAUUCAAUACUCUUUUUCACUAUAGCACACUUUUUCAUAUUAGAUGAAAAAAAUGAAUGGGAUCAUAGUAUUUUAGGGUCAUGCAAAUCCUUUAAUACAACCUCAAUAUAAUAAUGAAUUUCUCUACUUGAAAUAUGAGGAAACAAAAUUAAAGAGAACCAACUUUUCCCCAAACCAUAUAACUGUUUAGUGAUAGAAAUGGUAGCCCAGUUCUUUCUGUCACAUUUUUGUGCCUUGGAACAAAAUUAAAUCUAUGACCAGCAAUUUCUAAAAGAACUUAUCAUAGGGGAUAUAGUGCUGUAGUUGGAAUUAGGAAUACCUUGGUUCAAAUCCUACCAUGACCAUUCACAGUGUAUGGCCCUGGAAAAGUCAAGUAAUAACCCCUUUGGCCCUCAACUUCCUCAUCUGCAAAGUGAAGGGAUUGGACUCAAUGGACUCUAAGUCUCUUCUUAUUCUAAAGCUAUGUUUCUAUGACUUUUUAAACAAUUGAACUAGGUGAAAGGGACUCCCAAAGUGGAUUUAGGAGUCUGGAUUUUCUGGGUUGAUAAUUAUAUAUCUCUACUUGCCUAAAAUAGAAGUAUUUUCUACUAGCAUGGAAAAGUUAUUUUUCCUAUAAAAUCUUAACUUGUUCCAUUCAUAUUCAGCCCUACUAUUAUCUUUAUCUCCUAUUGUCCCUCAGAUUACAAAGUAAGAGGAAUACAAAGAGUUGAGGUAGGCAAACCCAACCUCAGUUUCCAAAUCCUAAUCUCCAUAUGACUUCUUACCAAUUCUAAGAAGCUAGAAACAAGACAUAUUGUGUUUCGCAUUAAGCUUUCUAAUACUUUUUUACCACUGAUAUGUGAACAUUUAUCGUUCAUGGCAAUUAUAAGCAUUGAUUGUCUGAAAAUAAGCUAGUCAUAUGGCAAGAUUAAGAUAAGUCACAUGGCAGGAUGGAGAAAAUAGGUAAAUAAGGGGCAAGAAGGGCAGGCAUUUAUUGAGAAUGUAUGAUAUGAUAUUCCAGGCACUGUGCUAAACACUUUUACAAAUAUUUUAUCCUAACUGGGUUAAGUGACUUAUCCAAGGUCAUGUACCUAGUAAGGUCUGAGGUCAGAUUUGAACUGAGGUCUUUCUGACUUGACUCAACAAACACUCUAUUCUCUGCACCACCUAACUGUCUUCAAGCAGCUCAGGAUAGUGUGAGCAAGUGAUACAUAAAUGUCCUUGCUAUGUCAGAAGAAAGGAAGGAAGAUCCUUGGUGUGUUGAGUGGAUCCUCUAUUGGAAACAUGGAAAGUUAUAAAUAAAAGUCAGAGUGGGCUGGACAUGGUUAGAUUAGAGAGAAUAUCUGAAAGAAUAAGAUUACAAAUCUUAUUGUAGUAGUAGAAAGAACAAAAGAUGCUACCUGGAACUAGUGCAUUCCAUAGGAUCAAAAUGUACCUCAACUCUGUACUUGUGAAUGGUCAAGGAAUGAAAUUUUGUACUUUUUCCAAUAUUAUGGGAAAUUGACUUAAUGUUAUAUGUGAUUAUAAAUUUAACCAGUGAGUUAUAAUACAAUAAAGUACAAACAAUACUAAAACUAUACUGGACAUAACUCAGACCUUAAUGACUUAAAAAGCAGGGUGAGAUUAUACAUUUUUUCGGGGAUAUCAUCAUAAUACAUUUUAAUCAUUUGAUUAAUCUUAGAUAUCAUGGCUUUCUGAGGUAUUAGAGUUUGACCAUCCCAAGGGCAGGAAAGACAGGGCUGCCCGGUACCUCCAAUACCUUGUUAUGUCCAGAAAGACAGAGUUGACAUCAACUGAUUGUCACUUUUCCAUCCUAGAUCUUUAAAUUCACUUUUGUCUAAACUUCCUUCUGGCUUUUUGACUCUGUCUAUCUUUCUUGGUUGCAUUUUGACUUUAGCAGCAGUAGUUUAAUGGAAUAAUCUCUGUGCAGGAAGUCAGAAAACAUGGAUUCAAAUUUCACUUCUGUCUUUACAAAGAGUUUCAUUCUGGAGAAUUUAUUUAGUCUUAUGGGCUCUUAAUUUCUUCAGUAAGAAGAUGAAGGACUUGGAUUAUCUUGAUCCUUCUACUCUCUGUGAUAUAAUUCUAAUGAGUUAACACUUACUAAGUGGUCAAUCAUUGUAAGACAUUGUGAAAAAAAUUAAAAUGAGGGAAAAUGGAUAUUGAUCUGUUCUUUUAAAGUCAUCUAUAUUUUCUCUCCUUUGUUUCUCCUAGAGUGCCAUUUUUCAGAGAAGGGAAUAAAAAAGAAGAAAUCAGUAUAACCAACCCAUAAAAAGAUGGGCAUUAUAUUCUGCAAUAAAUCUAAUUUCCUCCAACUAUGCAAAAAAAUGGGCCUUUGUAUCUCUUUAUUGGGGCCAAAUUUUGUUAUUAUGUGUUCAUAGAAUUUGGUAUGGAUUGUUUCAUUAUUGGUGCUUUCACUUAUAUUGUUGUAUCCAUUAUAUAUUCCUGAUUCUGCUUAUUUCACUCUACAUCAGUUAAUUUAAAUCUUCCUGUACCUCUCUGUAAUAAUCACAUUCAUUAUAGAAACAAAAAAUUGUUGUUUUUCCAACUUACCCAUUCCUUGGCUUUCUUGCCUUGAAUAUGUUCUCCCUAUGUUGUGUCAGAAUUUUAAUAAAUCUGGCAUGAAGACAAAAAUGAGAAGCAGUCGAUGACCUUGAAAGUGUUAUACUUGAUGGACAAUACUGUAUGCACACAAAGAUAUAUAACACAAGGAAAUUUCAUACAGGAGAAAGCAAAUGGGAGAAAUCUAGAAAAUCUCCAUACAAGAGGUUACUUUUAAGUUGAAUACUGAAGGGAGGUAAGAGAGAUAGAAAUGAAGAAGUAUAGGGAAAAUAAAAUAGAAAUAUAUGGAAGUGGAAAAGUUCAUGAAAAGUAAGAGUAUAAAAUAAGAUUGGGAAAGUCAAUGGCAACCACAUUAGGAAUGUCUCCUAAGAUUCUAAUCUAAGGAGCUUAUAUUUUAUCCUUUAAGCAAUGGAGUGACCAGGGAGAGGGAUGUAUUAAGGUUUACAACCAAAGGUGUUACAUGGUCAGACUUGUGCCUUAGAAAGAUUAUUUUGGCAACUGUUAAAGAGAGUACAUCAGAGAAAUAAAAAAACUAGAAGAGGUAAAAGACUUAGGAGGUUAUUAUAGAAGUGUGAGAAAGAUCAAAUACGAAUUUAAGCCUAGAAUGAUGGCUCUUUGAGUAGAGAGAAGUAAACAGGUGCAAGAGAUAUUGUGCAGAUAAAAUCAGUAAGAUUUAGUCAAUUAAUUGUAUAUAGAAAGAAAGAGAAGCCUAAGAUUUGAGGAUAAUUCUGCAUUCACGAACCUGGGAAUCUGAUACAAUAGAGAUCCAAUCUGAAGAAAGAGGGAUAUUUGGAGGAAGGGUGGAUUUGGAGUAUGUGAGGGAGAUUAUUCUAAAAUUCAAUGAUUAUACUCAUUUCAUCUUUCUGUCUUAUGUCUUUCGAUAGCUUGGUUCACAGAUUCUGCCUUCUCUGCCCUCACCAACAUUUAUUCAUCAAUUCCCUUUUCUUCCAAAUAGCUCUAAAGACUUGAGUCAAUGAGCCAAAUCUGCUUAUUGAUUUCAGUGCUCUGACCUGGGCUCCUGCUGAUUUAACCUUCUAUUGUCAGCCCCUACUGCCCCAUGAAUUUUAGUUCCCCUUGAGAUAUGGUAGCAGUGGUGCCAAUUAGCAGAAGUGUCCAGCAGGUAAAAUGUCAGGUGAUCAAGUUGUAAAUUUUUAACCCGGUUUAUUAGUCUCAUAAACUCAGGGUAGUACUUUCUGGAUGUUGAUAUACCUACAUUUGCUUAUUAUGGCUUCACUUUGAUGAAACAAUAAUGAGGAUUAGAGACCAGACAUGGAAAACCACAAAUGCUGCACCAGCUGAAACAACAACAACAAAAACAACACAGAAAUCAAAGCUAAAAGAGCGUCAGUUGGUCAUGUGUUAGAACAACCUAAUGCUGAACUUAGACAUAGGAUAUAAAUUCAAUUACUGGAUAUAACACAUCCAUCUCUGGAGUUAAGACACUUAAACAAAUCACUAAUGACUUCAAAGUUUCUUGCAACACUACCACCUUCCUCUAAAACUUCUGUCAUCGAAGUGCACGAGAUUUCUAGAAGACUAAGCCAUUGGAGCACCAACUCUGGUUUGGCAGAUCUUACCAAAAUGGAAUAGCUUCAAGGGUAUCUAGAUGACAGGCCAUUGUGUUUAUUGACUGAGAAUUAGCCAAGCUAAGUUAGAGAGGUUGAUCACCUUGUUGGAUGUGAGAAUGAUGAAUUUGUAGAGAGCAAGAACUUCCGUUUUUAGUCAUUUUUUGGUAAUCCUAGCAUUUAGCAUAGUGUCUGACAAAUAGGAAGUGUCCUUGUUGACUUGACUAUAAAGCCUAAAAGAGUUGUUUAAUAUAUUGAUGGAGAGAAUUCACUAACCAACAAAAUAAAGAUCCUUUUGGAACCAAGUAAAUAUAUCUGGGCCCCGCAAAUAUUUCUUCCUCUGGAAAUCCUUGCUGUUUUCCCCAAGUUUAGAGUGAGCUGUUUUGGGUAAUCAGUUUUGUAAAUCAUGACCCAAGCUUCCA